GGCGGACGGGUGCGUAACACGUGAGCGACCUGCCGUUGUGUGGGGGAUAACCGGGGGAAACCCCGGCUAAUACCGCAUGGGCCUCUUCUCUGCAUGGGGAGGGGGUAAAAGGUCCUUUCGGGGACUAUGCAACGAGGGGCUCGCGGCGUAUCAGCUAGCUGGUGGGGUAACGGCCUACCAGGGCGAUGACGCGUAGCUGAUCUGAGAGGAUGAUCAGCCACAUUGGGACUGAGAUACGGCCCAGACUCCUACGGGAGGCAGCAGUGGGGAAUCUUGCGCAAUGGCCGAGGGGCUGACGCAGCGACGCCGCGUGCGGGAGGACGCUCUUCGGGGUGUAAACCGCUGUCGGGAGGGACGAAGAUCCUGGGGAGGCAAUGCCCCGGGGGUGACGGUACCUUCAGAGGAAGCACCGGCUAACUCCGUGCCAGCAGCCGCGGUAAUACGGAGGGUGCGAGCGUUGUUCGGAAUUACUGGGCGUAAAGGGCGCGUAGGCGGCCGUUUAAGUCUACCUGUGAAAGGCCGGGGCUCAACCCCGUGCUGGCAGGAGAUACUGGGCGGCUGGAGACAGGCAGAGGCGGGUGGAAUUCCGGGUGUAGCGGUGGAAUGCGUAGAGAUCCGGAAGAACACCGGGGGCGAAGGCGGCCCGCUGGGCCUGGUCUGACGCUGAGGCGCGAAGGCGUGGGGAGCGAACAGGAUUAGAUACCCUGGUAGUCCACGCGGUAAACGAUGGGCACUCGGUGCUGGGGGGAUCGAUCCUCUCGGUGCCUGAGCUAACGCGUUAAGUGCCCCGCCUGGGGAGUACGGCCGCAAGGCUGAAACUCAAAGGAAUUGACGG
rnacentral:rRNA from 1 species